rnacentral:rRNA from 1 species
CCUACGGGUGGCAGCAGUGAGGAAUAUUUGUCAAUGGACGAGAGUCUGAACCAGCCAAGUAGCGUGAAGGAUGACUGCCCUAUGGGUUGUAAACUUCUUUUAUAUGGGAAUAAAAUGUUCCACGUGUGGGAUUUUGUAUGUACCAUAUGAAUAAGGAUCGGCUAACUCCGUGCCAGCAGCCGCGGUAAUACGGAGGAUCCGAGCGUUAUCCGGAUUUAUUGGGUUUAAAGGGAGCGUAGGUGGAUUGUUAAGUCAGUUGUGAAAGUUUGCGGCUCAACCGUAAAAUUGCAGUUGAAACUGGCAGUCUUGAGUACAGUAGAGGUGGGCGGAAUUCGUGGGGUAGCGGUGAAAUGCUUAGAUAUCACGAAGAACUCCGAUUGCGAAGGCAGUUCACUGGACUGCAACUGACACUGAGGCUCGAAAGUGUGGGUAUCAAACAGGAUUAGAUACCCGAGUAGUC